AGCAGUCGCCGCGGGAAUACGAAGGGUGCAAGCGUUACUCGGAAUUACUGGGCGUAAAGCGUGCGUAGGUGGUGGUUUAAGUCCGUUGUGAAAGCCCUGGGCUCAACCUGGGAAUUGCAGUGGAUACUGGGUCACUAGAGUGUGGUAGAGGACAGUGGAAUUUCCGGUGUAGCAGUGAAAUGCGUAGAGAUCGGAAGGAACAUCUGUGGCGAAGGCGACUAUCUGGGCCAACACUGACACUGAGGCACGAAAGCGUGGGGAGCAAACAGGAUUAGAUACCCGAGUAGUCCCUGUCUCUUAUAC
rnacentral:rRNA from 1 species